CGGGAAGUGGUAGAGCAGUGGUUAAGACAUUGGACUUCUGAUCAGAAGGUCGUGCGUUCAAAUCGCAGCAUCGCCA